rnacentral:miRNA from 1 species
CAUCCAGCUGUGAUCUCUACCCUCCCUGAGGGAUCCUGUACUGAGCUGCCCUGAGGCUCUUCUUUGUGUCCAACUCGGGGCAACUCAGUACAGGAUGCAUCGGGGUGGGAGUCAGCAGGGAGCCAG